UGGUGUGGGGGCUCUGUAGCCGCGAGCCGUUUUCUUUUAUGCCAGACGUCUUGCUUCCCGGAAUUUACGCCUUUGUUCCAGUGAUUCCGAUUCCAGACGACAGACCUAAGUUACUGUUGGAAUCGGAAUAGCGCUUACUGGGGCGGGGUCUUCCCAUGCUUUCCAUCCGGUCUUUGCUUUCAAGUCUCCUUCUCUGUUCGUUGCCUGCUGGCACAGAAUAUGCAGCAGCAUUUAGCAGCGUUCCAGAAUCCUGUUUCUUUAAGUGACUCGACUGGCCUUUCCAUAAUCGGGUGAAGUUGUUUGAUGUGAUAUUUGUAAUAGGCAUAUUUUAGUGGUUGAAGUUGAAGCAUUGCUGGCUACGUGGUAAAUGCCCGAAUUUAUAUUUGGUGUCACAGAGUAUAUUCCAUCUGGCUGUGACUUGGAGUAAACUUGAGAGUUGCAGAAUCAUUAAGGAAAAUGAGAGGGGCGGUGAGGGGGGAGUGAGUUGGCUGUCUUGACUAAACCAUUGAUGUGUCAAACAAUCGGAGGCUCUUCGUGCUUGGGGUGGGAAUGUGGCAUGAUUGGCUCACAGUGGUUUUUCAAGACCUCAGCAGAAGCAGUAGUCGGAGGGAGAUGGUCGGUUUCUUCUGUUUUCAACCCGAUGGAAUCAAGUCAAGUUCUCGUGUUUUGCUUGACGCUAGAAUUUACAGGGAAAUGUUUCGCCGGUCUUGGGCCUAAGGACUUCUAAUUUGGCCUUUAUAGAGGUUUGAUGUAUGGGAGUGAUC